rnacentral:rRNA from 1 species
AGAGUUUGAUCCUGGCUCAGAGCGAACGUUAGCGGCGGGCUUAAUACAUGCAAGUCGAGCGAGAAAGGGUCUUCGGACCUGAGUACAGCGGCGUCCGGGUGCGUAACACGUAGGCAAUCUACCCUUCAGUGGGGGAUAACUCUCCGAAAGGAGGGCUAAUACCGCGUAAGACCACGACCACUACGGUGGAUGUGGGAAAAGGCGGCCUCUCCAUGGAAGCUGUCGCUGAAGGAUGAGCCUGCGGCCCAUCAGCUUGUUGGUAGGGUAACGGCCUACCAAGGCGAAGACGGGUAGCUGGUCUGAGAGGAUGAUCAGCUACACUGGCACUGACACACGGGCCAGACUCCUACGGGAGGCAGCAGUAGGGAAUAUUGGACAAUGGGCGAAAGCCUGAUCCAGCCACGCCGCGUGAGUGAUGAAGGCCUUCGGGUUGUAAAGCUCUAUGGGAGAGGGAAGAAAAAGGUUAGGAACAAUACCCUAACCCUUGACGGUACCUUUCCAGAAAGCACCGGCUAACUCUGUGCCAGCAGCCGCGGUAAGACAGAGGGUGCAAACGUUGCUCGGAAUUACUGGGCGUAAAGCGCGUGUAGGCGGAUCAGGCAGUCGGGUGUGAAAUCCCUGGGCUCAACCUAGGAACUGCAUCCGAAACUUCUGAUCUAGAGUACUGGAGAGGGAAGCGGAAUUCU